UGUGAUUUCCCGUCUGUCAUGAGUGCUCUAUGAAUAAAAUAUACUUAUCGGUUCAUGUGUGUUUUUAUGUUUUUAUGUGUUUUAUGUAGAUUAAUUUUUCGUUUUGUUGGACGUUUUGUUCUGCUCCUGGCUCGAGCAGCAGAUCAGCUGGUUGAAGAGAAUCCGGGCACUGCGGGGAAACCAGAAGGAACUUCCAUCACCACCACUUGAAAAUAACUUAUUUUAUUUGUUUAAAAGUAAGCCAAAGUAUGCUGUUUACAGGAAUAAAACAUGCACAUGAUCGUCUGUUUGGGGAGGAUAACGUUAAUAAGGAAACUAAAACAUUAGAGACGAGGAUGAGGAGCAGACCCGAGCAGAACCUUUUACUCCAACAGGUCAGAAACCCGACAUGUUCAGUAGAAAACCGGUUUACUCCAGAAACAAGUAGCUCAACUUUAUUCUUUUCAUUUUUAAAUCCUGUUUGACAUGAUGCACACCUGAACACUCUUGAUUAAUGAUUCACAAGCUGACGAUGUUCACGUUAUUCUGUACUUUCCAUCAGAAUAUUUAACUUUGACCAAGUUUCUGAAUCAAAUCAAAUAUAUUAAUUCUAUUGAUGUAUCCCAACAGUUGUGCAUUAUUUAGCUAGGUUUCAUCUCUGACCCUGCUGCAGGUGUCUGCUGCUGCAGCUCUGCUGCUACACUCCUCUCCACUAGCGGGUUCUUCAGUAACCAGCGGUAACCUCUGAGCCUCGCUCUCCUGCGUCAGACCGCCCGCUCAUCACUCUACUCCUCCAAAUUUAAACACAUCCAACAUGUUUGUGUUUCCAGAAGUUAAACGGAGUUCUGUACAGCUGCUUCAUCCCCAAACAGAACCGGGACCAGACCCAGAACCAAACGGAGGACGUUUUACAAUCAAAGUGCUGCAGAAAGCACAGACAGUUAAAUCAGAAGGUGAGUUACUUUUAUUUUGUUGAGCAGGACGACACCGAUAAACGUGUGUGUGAAGAUUAUGUUUGCAAGCACGUGUGUGUGUGUGUGUGUGUGUGUGUGUGCGUGUGUGUGUGUGUUAGCCAGAGCAACACCCUCUAGCGGGCGUGGCCUGUGGCUCAUCAUCAACGAUCUGAACGCCG